CUCAACUUUUCUCCAAUACUAUAGAGCCAUUACCAUGUCGAUCAACACUUGAAUAGAAACCUAGUUCACAACCCCGAUUUUGACGUCAACACAGUCCCACUUGGUAGCCUCGUUUGAAUGUUGCGGUUGCGCACAUUUGUACGGAAUGGGAACACCUUGACUGACACGAGUUGAACUUACGGGAGAAGAAACUGACGGGCCGAUACACUCCGUCUUCAUCUUCCUAUGUGACCCUGUGCUAACAAGGCUCCUGAGCCAAUAUCCUCCAUUCCAGCUGGUCAGGACGGCCUUAAACAGCCCAUGGAGCAGCUCAGCCUGGACAGAGCGACAAACAUAAAAAAGACUGUGAUUGGACGUUCUCUCUUCAUCAUCCAAAAGCUGCUUACUUAGGUCCGAAGAUUUCCUCAGUCUCUGGCUGGGGAACAGGAUCCAUUUCAUAAAGCGAUCAGAGGCACCAUCUUGGCCUGACUUCAUUGAGAUGUGCUUCUCUGUUUAAAUGGACUGUGGUCUGUUUCUCUCUCCACACACAGUUGAGUGCUAAUCACACUUGCUGUGCUGUGUGAGGGCCUUGUGGUUAUGUUGGCCCUCAGGCACCUUGGUCAGGCUGUUGUACUGCUUGAUAUGGAUGGAAGUUUCCAGCCUCCUCAGGUCAGAGUUCAAACUAGCCCACGUGACUGACCACAGCCUGUUAUACUGUGCAGGUGUCCAUGAUCUGGUGGCCUGUGGCAUCAUCAGCCCAAGAGUGUACCUGUAAAGACCACUCAUUCUCUUUGCUGCACCAGGCAGACAGCUCCAGCUUGGUGCAAAUAAGAUGCCUGACCAUCUGGUACAUGUCCCCACUCAACAUGGCCCUCCUGCUGAACAACUCGGAGGUGUGGCACAUCAUGCUGUUUAAGUGCAACUCUGUAGGAAGCAGGCCAGCAUUCUUGGACUCUUUUGCAAUGCAGAAUCUGCAGAGGCUGACUGUGUUGUACCCCUUGUGGCAGUCUGACCAGACACAUGACAUCAUACUGGGGAGGGACAUGGAUGCACCUUACUAUGAAGAGACCAGGCUAGGAAUCAUCCACAGCUCAGUGCUGCUGGGAGAAUCCAAUGUGAAGGCCUAAACCGUUCAAACAAAUAUAGACAGCAACGGAAUCCUCUCUUGUCUAGAGUGAAACUACCAGAUACUUUUCUAUACUAAUACAGAUUCCUUUUUUCUAUGUUAACAUUGCCAAUGUACCACUACCUAUGCCUGUGACUGCAAUCUUCAUGUUCACAAUCUUCAUGGUCAUUUCAAUAUAGUAAGGUCACGAUUCAAUCAUGUAUUUUCACACUUCACUUUUAGAAGUGGGUUUGAUUUGCACAGCAGUAUGUCUCAAAUGGUGCCAUUACUUUUUGUUUCAAAUAUAUAUUUGAGGUAUUUUAACUUAAUUUAGACAGUAAGGAAAUCAGAGGGGGAGACAGGCAGGUGGGAGGAACAGUGGGAAGGGUGGACACUGGGACUGAACCCUGGUCUCCGAUGGGGAGUGUUAUAUGCGACUUGUGAAAACAGACAUCCGACAGUUUGUACUUAUUUAGUAAUACCUUUCGAGGAAGCAUUUCAAUAACAGCAGUUAGGCUCUUUCCUUUUAAUUAAAGGUCUGCUUCAAUAUUCA